GGAGGGAACUGUGGGGAGAGCAGAGGGGCAGCUCUGCUGGAGAGACCUGAGGCUUGCAUCGCUGGGCCCGGCCGGGUCGCUGCGGCUGGGCUGGAGGUGAGGCGAAAGAAGGGCAUCCUCUGAUGGGAGUGGACCGGAGUCCGCUAAAGCGAAGCAUUCCAGGGUUCGUUGCGGGAAAUACAGUCUGGUUUUGCCCCCCGUAUGAAUUGAGGGAAGGUCAAGGAUGCAUUCCAGGAAAGUUCUAUAAAAAUAUACCAUCAACUCCAACCUGAUAUUUGACCUAGCCAUGGAAAACCUCAUUGGCUCCUCACUGGAUCAGACCAUAAAAAUGAUCCAGGAAUGAAAAUCUAAGAUAAAUUCCCACCACUUCAAGAUGUUCUUAUACAAGUCAACAGUCUAGCAGAUCAGCCAGUCUCUUUCAUCAUCAAGCAGACAUACUCAAGAAAGAGGAAUAGUGAAGUGAAAUACACAGAAGCAUGUUCAAGUUCAUCUGUUGAAUCUGGAAUUGUGAAUAGUGACAAUAUUGAGAAAAAUACUGACUCCAAUCUGCAAACUUCAACUUCAUUUGAGCCACAUUUCAAAAAGAAAAAAGUAAGUGCAAGACGUUAUAAUGAAGAUUACUUAAAAUAUGGCUUUAUCAAAUGUGAAAAACCCUUUGAAAAUGACAGACCUCAGUGUGUUAUUUGUAAUAAUAUUCUUGCGAAUGAAAGCUUAAAACCUUCGAAAUUAAAAAGGCACUUAGAAACUC
rnacentral:sRNA from 1 species